rnacentral:lncRNA from 1 species
CUGGGGUGCGGGAGGAGGUGGGAGGGUGAGGCUGUGGCCAGCAGGAGCCAGGCCUCAGGGUGCCAGCCUGGACCAGGAGCAUGUGCUGGGGGCUUGCUUUCCGCAAUCAGGCACUUUUUCAAGUUGGUCCUGAACGGUUCUGGACUGGAUGGCAGGCUGCUGUGUGUGAUUGAGAAUGUUGCCUGUCUGAGCCCUGAGAUGAGCUGAGGGUUCCUCCUCCCCAGCCAGCACCAGCCUCACACAGCCCUUGUAAAUCUGAAAGUGCUGUUGGUAGCAACCAGGGAUGGGCAGAGGCAGCCCUGUCCUGAGGGUGACAUGAAAGUGAGAGCAAGCUGAAGCUCCAGUUGGCUUAGUCUUCAAAAGUGUCACUUUCAGAUUAUAUCCCUCAGCUUUAAAAUAUCCUUCUUUGAAGUCCAUCCUGCUCUGCCCACUAUUUGUCCCCGGUGGUCACUUCCUCCUCUGUGCUCCCGUGGCCUGGGAUUCACACCAGGAAAGAACGCCACGAAGAAGGAAUGAUUUUGUGAACAAUUUGGCAUGAGGAGAGAAAGGAACCUGAAGUUUUUAGCAAGGAAGACAAGAAAAUGGAGGCAAAGAACAUUGGAGUCACUCCCUGGCUACACACACUGAGGUGAUAACCAAGGUGCUCAAAAAGGGCCGGUGUGCCGCAGUGAGUGCCAGUUUGAAUGAAGGAAGCAUGCGUGGCCUGAAGCCUCACCGUGUUCCAGGCGUCCAGUUAAGUGCUCUGCACAUAAUAUCACACAUUGCGCUCCACGAUAAGAACAAAUUCUCACAUGGGAACCGAGCAAAGUGUAAUGGAUGUUCCCAGGAGCUGCCUAUGGGAUUCAAGAAAACUGUAUGAGAGGAGUAACAUUUGGGCUGGAAGCGAAAAUACAAGUAAACAUAUGUCAAAUGGGCUUGCCAGGAAACUGCUACAAUUUUCAAGAGCGCCUUUGAAAGCUCCCACCAACUGCCGCAGUCUGCAUCAGCCAGGCAUGUGUACCCACACAGCCCGCCCAGCACCCUGUGUGAAGCCCAUCUCCACUUCCAGGUCUGGCUGUGUCCAGCUCUAGAGAGCUGUGGAGUCAGCGCCACUUCUGCUUCAAGAUCCAUGAUGAGUGCCAUCUCUGGACAUCCCUCAAGCCUUCAGUCUGUAGACCCUGCAGAGAGAACUUGCAGAUAUUGUAAUGUCUGUGUUCCUACACUUCAAAUGUGAGCUUGUGGGGUGUCAUCUUGGAGAUUUUCGUGUUGGAAAUCUUCCACUCAAACACAUGUGCUUCAGGAGAAACACGAAGUGUGAAAAUGUUAAGUUCCAAGAAAGCACAGACGUGCGUCUAAUGAAUAGAUUUGGAAAUGAUGGGUAGACACGGACAAGGAUCUCAUCUACUGCAUUUGCUAAAUAAUCAGACCUGAUCUUAACAUUUUAGCUCGUUCUACUCGUGGUUGUCCAUGUGGCAAGGAGUCAUGAAGUAAUAACAUAUCCUCUGUAGUCGGUGCCUAUGAAGGGGUGACAGACAUCUGCAUGUACAGGAUAUGCUGUGAAUUUAAUGAGUUUUGUCUUGUGUCCUAUAUUGACUUUAUCAGGAAGCCCUAAAUGUCCCAGACUCAGCCUUUACCAAUACAUUACAACAACUGGCACAUAGAGCUAUUUUUCUGCCACGGUAAUUGGUGCUUCAGUCAUUAACCUAGCUGACAAUCAUACCUCUACACACAAAAAUCUGGACAACCUCUUCUGGUCUUUCCCAUAGGGUCAGCUGAGGGAAGACCAAAAGAGGGGACUGAGAAGAAUUAAAAGUACAUCUUUUCACCCUCAAGAAAGGAAAAGAUCACUCUCUGGCCUGAGUCCCAAGGAGUGAACAAGUGCCCAGCGUUAAUGAGAGAUAACUUCGCAUCAGUGCACAUGCUCUGAAAAUCAGCCAAUCCCUGAUAGCCUCACUUGUGUUGUGCUUCUGAAAAGGAGCCAGUCAGCAACAGCCUCGCUCCAGUAACUACGCUUCUGAAGAUCAGCCAACCGAUGACAGCUCCAGCUCCUGAAAGUCAGCCUGUCAGUGACAGCCCCUCACUUACAGACAACAGCCAAUCUGCCGGUCUUCACCCCGGUGACAGUGCUUCUGAAAGUCAGCUAACUCCAGUGACCAGGGGCACAGCUGACGUGCUGAGUCCCCCACACUCUCACCUCUGGAACCCACCAGCCUCUCCAGGAUGGGCUUCUUCAAACCUCAUCCAAGAUCAGCUCAGGCUUGAUUUGGGAGAGACCGUUCCUCCCUUACAAUUUCAACUCUUCCUUGGAGGAAAAUGAGAAGUUUUCCUCCAUAACAGAUAUUGAGUGUAAUUCAUCAUUAGCUUACAUAUUUGCAACCAUUGUGACAGUUCAUUCAGCCCCUAUUCACAGUUCAGACUUGCCAAAGAUGGACAUUAAGAUGCUCAAAUUUAAUCUUUUCCAUUUUUGUGACGGUUGCUAUUAUCCAUUUUUAUUUGUGUACUUUUGAGUGCCCAAAAUGUUAAAAGGCAAAUGUGAAUAUCACGAUAAAUUUUAUGAGCAGUAGACAUUUACCAAACAAGUGUAUGUCUUUUUGAAGCUCUUUGUGUAGUAUGCAAUUGUGCAUUCAAUACGAAAAAUGGUGGAAAGUAAGAUAUAAGUCAGCAAAUACUAAUAGCUAAGCAUGGGAGAUGCAUGAUAUCCUUUAUCAGUGCCAUAGAAAAUAAUAAUACAUUUUUUUGUGUAAGAGAAAUUCAAAUGAAACUGAUAUAUGAGUGGCAGCAGAUCUUGUGAUGGCCUUCCACAUUGUCUGUCAGUCAUCCAUCUUUCAGCUUAAACCACUCUGUGUCCUUCUACCAUUCAGAAGCACUGUCUAAUUCCAAAUUUGCAAAUUUGCAAAUAAAUUUUUUAAGUGCCAGGUGAAAAUUUACUUGCAUAAUUUAAAAAUGUAAUAGUUCCACUAACUAUUAUAGAGAUUAUCAAAGAUAUAAAUGCCCCACCUUUUAUGGCAACUGCAGGUACAAGUAAUCAAAACGCAGAUCAAAUUUCCCUUUGCUUUUGUAAUAUUUUUUUUCUCAUGUGAAGACCCUUCCAAAGGCGAUUUCAGAAACAAAAGCAAAUUUUAGGAAACUCAUAUGUAGGGUUGAAGAAGAUGAUAAAAUCUGAUGACAACAUGGUUUGUUUGUUUGUUUGUUUGCUUGUUUGUUUUGGCCAGAAAAUAAUAUUUCAAGAAGCUGAUCAGGAAAUUCAAUAUAAUCCUGAAGUGUGGAAAAAAUAAGUUAUACCAUGAAACAUGGUUUGUACUUGAACAAAUCAAAUUUGAAGAGCAAUUCUCAGAGUGCCAAUGUUUAGUCAAUAAACUUGUCUGUAAUGCUAAUAUUGAGCAUAAUUUUCAAUUAACAAAGAACAGAAUAAGUUAGAUGUGCAGAAGCUAUGUUUUGAGGUAAAGAAACAGAGACUUUAACUGUAAGGAAUUGUGUAAGGAAGUUCUGUAAAGCAAGGAACUAUUAAGAAGAGCCAAAUCACAUGUAAUAAAUAUAGUUAAACAAGUAUAAAACAUAAUUAUUUCAGAUUAGCCACAAUUAAUGUUUUAGUAGUCAUAUGUCUCAUGCAACAGUUUCUUUUAUUUCAGUGUACAUAUGUACAGGCAAUUAGAAAUAACUCAAAUUUAACUGGGUGUUCUAUAUUUUUAUUUGCUAACUCUGGCAACUCUACCUCACUGAUACUUAAGGCCUAUAAAUGUUACUGAUAUAAAGGACAAGUUAUCUGAUUUCUUUUCUCUAUUAGCCAUGAAAGAACAUGUCAUACUGCUUCUGACAACCCAAUUCAGUGCAAAACAUGCACUUUAAUGGCUAGAGAAGUGGAGAGGAGGGAUGGUUGAUUCUUUUGAAUUCUAAGCUUUCCUGGUAAUGAACGAGUUGACUGGGAGGAAGUUAGUUCUCCUUUCCAAGUUUAGAAAUACUACAGUGAAAACAACGUAUUUUUAAUACUUCACUGCUUAAAACAACAACCACAAAAAAUGGCUGUCUGAGCUGUAUGGGAAAAGGAAGGAAAGAAGGAAGGAAGGAAGGAAGGAAGGGAGGGAGGGAAGGAGGGAGAGAAGAGAGGGAAAAGAGGCAGCAAAGCUCUGCCUUCUCAGAUCUCAUAUCAAGUUUUUUGUUUGUGUCUUUCUUUUAUGUUAUUAAUUUCAAAUACGUAAAGUUACUUAAACUGACAUAAGAAACCAUACUCUAGUAGAUGUAACCAGGUUAAUAAUUAAAUCAGAGUAAUUUUAGUAAAAUACAUCAUUUUUAGUUAUGAGUAUUGAAAUGCACUUCAAGCUGCCCAUUAAAAUAUAAUAUGCUCUUAUAGGAUUUCAAAUGUUUUUCAAUCAAUAUAGUUCUAAUAAGUGGGUCUGAAACAAUUGUAAAUUUCAGCCAGCCCACUUUAAUAUUGGUUCUGGUAUCAUACUUUCUUACAUAGAGAAGUCCCAACUGAUGAUUCUAAAAUCAUAGACUAUAUUUUAUCUUUGGUACCAAUAAGCAUUUUUUCUUGCCAUAUGAAUAUAUUCAUUAUCUGAUAAUGAUGCUAAUUUUUGUUUUUAUUUGUUGUGGAGGAAUGUCAAAUUAAUGAACCGGUUACCCUUCUCAAAGACUCUCAACACAUGUUCCUUACAAUUGUCAAAGUCAGAAAAGGUUCUUUAGAUGUCACAUGCAAACACUUCCUAGAUUUCUUUUGUGUAUGUGAGAUUAUCCCCUUGCUUUAACCUGCCCGUCAUCUUUGAUGACAUUGAGCAUGAGCUGUUUUCCCUGGAUAGAGUAGUUUUCUGUUUAUCUUGUAGAGCUUAGGUCUCUAUUGGGACCACUAAGGACUUAUAAUGGCCUGGCUUUCAGGCACAGAGGGACAGACUAAAACAUAAUUCUGUCAGAUAAAAACAAAUCCGCAUUUAGGUAAGAAAAGAUAUUUUUCAGAAGGAUUUUUGCAAUAAGCGGGGAAGAGACUACUGCUGUAGAGAGAAUGCUCCAACCAUAAUAUCUACAAGUCAGAAAUGAAUUUUCUUUUAUAGCGGGAUGUAAGUAAGGCUAGAAAGAAACAGGUACAGGGGAUAGGUGUGAGCAGGUGGCGUGGUGGUUCCAGCGCUUGGGGAUGGACCAAAUUUAGGGUCCUGUAGGGGAGGAGGGAAGCUUAAAUAGUUUGAUUAAGGCAAGUUAGCAGGUGUCUUGUCCAGAUUGGUCAAUGGGUACAAAUAAUUCAGUUAAUCAUUUAUGGGGCAAUGAAUGGAAUUUGGAGGGUCUAUGUCUGGCUGUGUCAUAAGCAAAUAAAUAGGCACCUAUGAGUCUUCUCUAAGUCACAGGAGGAGAAGUGCUUCUUUGCAAAAAGCCUUUCCCAGAAGACAAAACGUGAGGAGAUUUCUUUACUCUUUCCUGUUUUCUAGUAUCACAGGGCUUGGGUAAAUCGUCAAUCUCAUCUUGCAGUAAAAUAACUAAGUAAUAAUUAACCAACUAAUCUAUACAUCCAUGUGAGCUAGAAUGCAGAAAUAUAAUGUACUUCCUGUAAAAAUGAAGCUAAGCUAUUUCAUGUCCAAGCCUUAGCAUACUGACUUGCAGUAAGCUCUAACCUCACUCCCUGGCCCUCCAAGCACACUCUGCACUCUGGCUACAUGGACACAAUCAUAAGACCUUUCUCUACCUCAGGAUUUGUCUUCAUCCUGUUCUCCAUGAACAGCCCUCUCCUAUUUCUCUGACUAUCCAAAUUCCACCCAUUCUUCAAUAUCCAGCUCAAAUGCCACUUUUCCCCCUAAAUUUUCUUGGUAGCUCAUUUUCUCCCUCCUUCCUCAAUCAGACCAUCUAGCACACUUUUGUAUUGAGCACCUACCAUGUAGAGGGGCCAAUGCUAGUUGGGCUUUCUUUUUAUGCUCAUUGUUUUACUCGUCAUUUGAGUAUUACUCACAGUUCAUGGUUUAUGAUUCAACUUUUGUUGUCACAUAACCAGUGGCAUGCUGGUUAAUGUUUAGUAAUAGCCUCUGUGGGGCGUGUGUGUGUGUGUGUGUGUGUGUGUGUGUGUGUGUGUGUGUGUCUUCUGAUUUGUAGCAUUUUCUAAUUUCAGUGGUGUAAGCUACUCUAAAUUUGGAAAGGAAUACGUAGAAUUGGUUCUCAGGAGCCUGUAUGAGCCAGCCCCAGCAUACCACUAUACUUGACUGUGUAAACGAUGUUUAAAUAAGAAUGUGAAUGCCUUGUUUACCUCACCAGAUGACAAGACUCUGUAGGACAGGUAGUAGUUUACCAACUAACAAUAGUAAUAAGGACACUACUAUUUACUGCAUGGAUAUUCAUUGAGUAAAUGAAUGAAAAAAUAAGUGAAUUGAAACAUGUUCAAUAUAAUGUAUAAUUGAUCAUGUUUUCCCCAGUGGCUUGCUGAGAGUCUUGCAUUCCAUAGGUACUGAAGAAUAUCUGCUCAUUUGCUGAAUGAGGCACUGCUUUUAUGGGGUUAAUUUCUGUUCACUGGCUUUAGGCUUCAUCAUGAAAUACAUAUGUAGCAUGAUUCUGUUAAAGCAGAUAGGUAGCAUCUGGAUCCACUCCCUUGCCCUUCCGUCUUUCUUGUAGAGGCUACCUGUGUUUGAUGUCCUCCAUUUUAGCCACUUGCUUCAGGAGAGUGCCCAGUCUCAUGUGUGUCGUGAUUGGUUCAAGCCCAUCACAGUAAAUGUUUUGCCCUCACUGCUGAUUGAUUGGCUGAGGCAUGCCCAUAUGCUGGCAAUAUGGCCAAUGACACUGACAGAAUGCAAGCCAGGGGGCUUGUGGGAAUUUUCUCUCAUUUCUCUCAUUUAAAAAUUGAAGUCAAGGAGAGAAUUUGCCUCCUCUGACUUUAUUUGCUGUAUAGGGAUGUGUGCUGCAGGGGUCCGUCCUGUGAUCACAAAGGAAGGGAGCUUGAGGACAAAAAUCAGCACAUUAAGUAUGGGGAGCAGACAGGAGGAAUGAACCUGAGUUCUUGGCAAUGCAGUUGAGCAGGAGAAUGGACUAGCCAAGGAAUUCUCCUGUCCCUGAGUAUCUUAUGCAGAUAAUGAAUGCUUUUAUUGCUCAAGUCACUUUUACCUACAAUGUAUCCUGGACAUAUUAGUAUUGCUAUGAUGAUGAUGAUGAUGAUGAUGAUGAUGAACACCAUUGUUAUUAUUUUGUUAAAAGCUGGCCUUGUUGCCUUAUUAGGAGCAAGGAAUGCAGACAGAUGCUUGAGUAGGUGAGAGCUGGUAGUGCAUCCUCAACAUGGUUUACAAGUGAGGUGGGAGUAUUACUGACUGAUAGUUGGAUUUGAAAUGGACUGUCUCAGCAUUGUAGAAUGGAGUCCUAAGUGCAGAAUCUUCAGGGCUGUAUUUGACAUUUUUAACUAAGCAGUCUGAUUAAGAGAGAGAGCAGAUAUGCAGAUAUGCAAACAGGAAGGCAGAGCUGCCCCUUAUAAAAUUCUGCCCUGGUGAUAUCAAGUCCAGAGCAAUUUGAGAAACAGAUGAAGAACACAAUCGUAAGAUAUCUAGUAAGUCUGCUCUUGGAGGGUUAUGCACCAGAAGGUAAGAUAUAUUCCACUAGUGUAAUGCCAAGUGUAAGAAUAUUUCUGUACCCAAAUCAGCAUGCCCACUGUAUUACUCAGAAUUCUCUAGAGGGACAGAACUAAUAGGAUAGGUAGAUAGACAGAUAGAUAGAUAGAUAGAUAGAUAGAUAGAUAGAUAGAUAACAGAUAGAUAGAUAGAUAGAUAGAUAGAUAGAUAGAUAGAUAGAGCAUAAUAAGUAUUAACUCACAAGAUCCCACAAUAGGCCAUCUGCAAGCUGAAGAGCAAGGAGAGCCAGUCCGAGUCCCAAAACUGAAGAACCUGGAGUCCGAUGUUCAAGAGCAGGAAGCAUCCAGCAGGGGAGAAUGAUGUAGGCUAGGGCCACAAACCCCCUAACUGUCACCAGAAUUGGUGGGUGGAGAAGUAGUAAGGACUUCUUUUGCACAGUCAAAUCAUGGAUAUAGGAACAGAGACUCAAAUCAUCCAUCCUUUGUAAAGUCACCUUGCAUUUCUGUCCCACCAUUUCAAGCACAGAUUUAGCACCAUCAUUUGUGGCAGCUUCUGGUUUCUAGAUCAGUAUUGUAAAAUUACAGGUUAUCCAGGAACGUAAAAGAUAUAUUUUUUAAAAGUUGUAAAAGAGCUUACCACUCCUAUUUAAAGUCAAUUAACUUUAUCUAGAGAUCUUUAUGAGCCAGACCAGGAACAAUUAGGAAAUGAAAGAUUUAAAUAAGAUGAAGGUAGUUGUUCAUUCCUGCUCAUAUCUUCCAAAUAUUUCAGCAUUUCUGGGAUUGUUUUUAAAAGAAAUUUUUUUGAGAGUUGGUUUUUAGGGGAAUGUUUUAAACAUUGCUUCUCAUGUUAUCAUUCUCCUGAUGCAGUCUGCCAGGAUGUUCCAUUCAGCUGCCACAAUCUGCUCAUCCCUGUCUUAUAAAGGAAAACUAUUCUCAAAUGAAAAUCUCUCUCUCUUUUUUGCACCAGUAUAUUUCACAAAAGAAUAAAGGUGUCAAAUUUCAGAAUUUUUAAAAAUUUUAAAAUAUGGGCAUUUCCUGAAACCUGUCUUUAGAUGAUCACAUUCAAGGUGUUCACUUACGUAUUUGCUACUCUUUCUUGGGUAUCACUGAGCUUCACCAUAUACUGUUUAUUAAUUCUGUGUAUUAAUUAUUUAGAGAUACAGGGCAUUCACUGAAUGCCUAGCAAAGGUAAUAUCUAAAUACCAGGAGCUGAGAUCUACAGAACAUAUAUUCCCUGUCUCAUAUAACUCAGGGUCAAGCGGGAAAAUAUGUAUUUUGUUUAUUCUCAUCAGAAAAUGAGUCCAGUGAGACAGAAAUUCAGAAGAGCAGUUUAGCACCAGAGCAUGCAAAAACACAACCUUCUCCCACCUCAAUGCUCGCCAAGACUAAGCAAAAGGGGUUUUUGAAACAUAUAUGGAUUUGAACCCUUCUGCAACUUAUUAGGCAGCCACAUCCUUAUAGUCACGUAUUUGAUUUCUUGCAGCCCAGGAUUCUGCAACCGUAAUUUAGCCACCUUGCUGUAUUGUUAUAAGAGAUAAGAGAGACGUCACACAGCAGUUACCAUCUUAGGUGAUCAAUACAUAUCAGUGGCCUUUCUCUUCCCAUCUUCUCCGAGAACUCCAAGCCUGUCUCUGUAUGCUAUUUUAUCCUUUUCAUACUUCUAAUUUGGCCUAUCAGUACAAUAAUUUUGUCAUGGUAUUAAGUGGGUAAAUAACUUCAAAAUAUUGAUAAUCAAAAUGGGGAGCAAGAAAUAUAUCAAUGGAAUAUUUAAGCAAUUCAAUAGGGUAUAAUUUAAUGUCAGUGUGCAUUCAUAUGACUAAAAGAACUGUAGGAUGCCGUGUUUUUUCUACCAUUAGCAAGUUUUGAUCUUCUUGAGAACAGAGUACAGGCACAGGAGAUGUCUCCACCCAUGAAAAUAUCUUCAUUUAUUCAUUUGUCCAUUCAACACACACUCACAGAAAGCUUAUUUUGAUAUAUUUAAAAAUAUGUUAUGAAACUUUACUGGUCUAGAUAUAUUUGAUAAGUGCUUGAAAAGAGAAGGAGCAGUGAAUCCUCCCAUUCCCCCUUUGAGAGGGAGGUGCUAGAUUUAUCCUUCUUGAGCUAAAUCCCUCCACCUCCCCUUAAAGAGGAAGGUGCUAGAUUUAUCCUUGUUGGGCCAAAUACACCAGGGCUCAGCUGGCACAGCUGCUGCACCCUCCACUCCAUGUAGUCUGAGCAGGGAGAAGCUGAUGGAUAUUGAAGAGGCAGAACGUGGUAGCCUUGGCUGUGAUAUGGAGCUUCCCCUGGGCUAUGCGGAUGCUGAAGAAAGUAGCCAAACUUGGGAUGCUUUGACGAGACCAAGACCAAGAGAGCAGCCAGCAUCACAAGGCUGUGGGGUGGAGUUGCAGGUGCAGGAGCUGGCAAUGAGAGGGAGGGCACCAAAAGGGGGUUGACAAGCUCACCAUGUGUUUCUGGGAAGCAUGUAGUAUUCAUGUUGCCCAUGGCUUCUGAAAAACUUGUACAUCUGCCUCCAAGUAAAACUCCAGUAUUGGAAUGUCAGUCACAAGAAGGACUUCAGUGAACAUCUCAUAACAAAAGCAAUCCAGUUAAGACUUCUGUAUGUUUUCUUAGGUCAUCUUCUACUUUACUCUGUCCUGUGUGGUGUUAGUCUCAGGAGUAAGAGCAGGUAACUAAACCAGACAAGAACAUGAAUAUCACAGCACUAUUCACAAUAGCAAGGACAUGGAAUCAAUCUAGAUGCUCAUCAAUGGUGGACUGGAUAAAGAAAAUAUGGUACAAAUACACCAUGGAACACUAUGCAGCCACGAAAGAGAAUAUCAUGCCCUUUGCAGCAACAUGGAUGGAGCCGGAGGACAUUAUUCUAAGUGAACUAAUGAGGAAAGAGAAAAUUAAAUUGCCAUGUGAUCUCACUUAUAUGUGGGAGCUGUACAUUGAGCACCCGUGGAAGGAAAUGACAGACACCAGGACCUAAUUAAGGAUGGAAGUUGGGAAGAGAGUGAGGAUAGAAAAACUACCAUCAGGUACCAUGCUUAUUACCUGGGUGAUGAAAUAAUCUGUACACCCAACCCCCACAGCACGUAAUUUAUCUGUAGAACACAUUCUGCACAUUUACCCCUGGAAUUAAAAUAAAAGUUAAAAAAAAAAAAAGAAAAAAAAGAGCAGACCAAAUCCCCUUCUGCACUGAAGGCCCUCUAGCUAUGGGUCGGGCCUGAACUGGGAAUGGGGUGAAAAUUUGAAUCAGGUGAAAUGGACUUUUCUAAGCCUUAAAGUAAGUCCUAAUUACCAAAUUAGAAGAUCAUAGAAGAGACUGGCCAGAAGAUAGUGUAAACAUGAACAGGAAGGGUACUGCUCCAAAGCGUGUUUGAAAGCAGUAAUUGGAGGAAAAAUAAAGCUCUUUUCCUAUUGCACCCAACCAAGUUCCAGCCCCCUCCAUACACUGCUUAGACAGCAGUGAACUCUGAACAUUCAUCACAUGGGGCCCGAUCUGCAGAUGCUACUGGAUGGGGCCUGAUCAAGAGUAAGAAAAGUCAUGCUCCCAACUCAGUUCACACUUUCACUACCUGUAUAGUCCUGGACCAGUCUUUGAAAAUCUCUGACUGGAAUGCAAAGCUCAUCGCUUUCUUCAAAGAUAAUCAGACUUGUAUUAUUUUUCUACUUUACUUUAGCCCAGACUUGAACUCGCACAAAUUGAGUAAUGAGAGCCUACUUAAUUGAAUAUACACUUAUUAUUAAAAAGAUGAAGAGAAUAGGAAAAACCAACCGUACCUCCUCGCUCCUUCCAUUCACUAUACUCAUGGAGCCUUAGAUGCCUCUUGAAGGUGCUUUGGGGGCUAUGAACUGAUAUCUGUAAUUCAAGGGACCCAUUCCCUCCAGGUAGUGACCAUAAAUAUGGAUCCAUUAAUACUCAUUGAUGUGCAAGUAAAGAAUAUCUCAGGGAAUAGCUUGGACCCAGAGGUGGCAGAAAUCUGGGAUGAGACUGAUAAAAUCACUAAUUGUAUGACCCUACAACAUGGGCCUUCACUCAACUCUUUUGGAUGAGGGGCUCCGGGAAUACCAAUUACAUAUUAUAGCUUUAGGCUCUAGAAGCAAAAAAUCUAGGUUAGUAGUAAUGUAUUUUUAAAUAAUUCACAAACAUACUUUAUAAAGGAGUAAAAUGGAGGGUAAAAAUAUUCCUGGUAAUAAAACACUGAGAAAAAUACUUUUCCAUUUUAUUAUCAUAAGCAUAGUAACUACUAUGUACAAAACAAACAUAGACCUUGCACUUUGCAAGCCUGAUUUCACUUCACAAGUAUUAUGCCCAGGAAGAAGACUCUAAAAUUUAGUGUCCUUUAGUUAGUCAGUGGUAAAGACUGGAUUCUGUCCCAACUAUGGCUGUUUCCAAAGUGAAUGCUCUUAACUGCUGGGUUAUACUGCCCUUCCUUCACGUUUGAGUGGAGUUUGGGACAAGACUUCUCCAAUUAAACCUCAGAAUGAUGCCUUGUCAUUAUUUCUCAGAACAGUUUGACUUCAAUUGACAAACAUUCAUUGGACACUUACUAUUUUAAUAAUUCACCAUCCCUUGCAAUCCAUUUCCUUAGUAAGAAAAAGUAUUGGAACUCCUUUUUAUCCACUGAAAGAAUGUUGGCUCCUGGUGGCUAGAGUUGCACAUCAUCUGUAUUGGGAAUAAUUGCAAAAAAAGAGGGACGAAGACGUCAUCAAGAGAAAAAACAAACAGAAUGGAGGACAUUAAAAAACGUGAUUUGUGCAAUGAGGUCUUGAGAGAGAGAAGGAAGGAAAGAUGGAGUGAUGGCAGCCUAGAUGUGGCACUGCAUGGCUGGGUUCCUCAGAGCUGGGCACCCCACAGGGACCUCAUGGCCCACACUCUAACAUGGGCUUACAUGGAGAAAGCUAGUAAAAUCUAGGAAAAUGGUGAAAAAUACUUACAAACAUUUUUAUGUCUCACAAAUCCACAAAUCUUUGCUUGUUAUGGCAUAACCUAGGGUGCAAAAGGAAGGACAUUUUCAUACAUAAGACCAAACAUUUAUUAAGUAUUUUGAUGAAGGACCAGAUGAAGGCAAAAUAAAUCACCUCUAGUCUGUUUAUAAUCUACAACGAAGUUAGGUGAAUUUCACAGCCAUCUUAAUGACACCACAGAAAUGAUUAUUGAGACUGUCUAAAGAGUGAUAAAAGGAAAUUAAUUUGCAAAACACAUUAUUACUCACCUAGCAUUCUUAGAAUGACAGUAUUGAUUUGUUUGUUGUAGGUAGCUUUAAUAUUGUAUUUAUUUUUUAUUCUGGUAAAAUAUAGAUAUCAUAUAAUUUGUCAUUUUAACAGUUUUUAAGUGUCAAGUUCAUUGCUAUUACUGUGUAACCAUCACCACCAUCCAGAUUUAGAAUUUUCCAUCUUCUCAAAGUGAAAUUCUGUACCCAUCAAACACUAACUCCUCAUUUCCACUCCCUUCAACCCCUGGUAACUUCCUUUUUGCUUUCUGUCUUUAUGAAUUUGACUAUUCUGGAUACCUCACAUAUAAUGUUUAUCCUUUUGUGUCUGGCUUGUUUCACUUAGCAUAAUGUCAAGGGUCAUUCAUGUGGUAGCACAUGUCAGAUUUUCCUUCCUUUUUAAGGCUGAAUAAUAUCCCAUUAUAUGUAUUUACCACAUUUUGUUUAUCCAUUCAUCUGUCAAUGGACAUUUGGAUUGUUUUCACGUUUUGGCUAUUGUAAAUGAAGCUGCUAAGAACAUUGGAGUACAAAUAUUGUUCAAGUCCUCACUUUGCAUUCUUUUGAGUAAACACUCAGAAGAGGAAUUGCUGGAUUUUAUUGUAACUCUGUGGUUAAAAUCUUGAGGAACGGCCACACUGUUUUGUACAGAACCUGAACCAUUUUACAUGUCUACCAGCAAAGCACAAGGGUUGCUAUCUUAUAUUCUAUUGACUGUGAAAACACUUACUUCCUAAGAGUUUGCACACCCCCUCCCCACUACAUUUUCUCCACAUAGAUUCAGUUCUAGCCUUUUUUACUGGUCCAUUCUCAAGCUGCCAAUAAAGACGUACCCAAGUCUGGGUAAUUUAUAAAGAAAAGGUUUAACUGACUCACAGUUCCACAGUGCUGAGGAGGCCUCAGGAAACUUACAAUCACGGUGGAAGGAAAAGCAAACACAUCCUUCUUCACAUGGUGUCAUGAGGGAGAAGUGCUGAGUGAAGCAGGGAAAAGCCCAUUAUAAACCCAUCAGAUCUUGUGAGAACUCACUUACUAUCACAAGAAGAGCGUGAGGGUAACCACCCCCAUGAUUAAAUUACCUCCCACUGAGUCCCUCCCACAACAUGUGGGGAUCAUGGGAAAUACAAUUCAAGAUGAGAAGUGGGUAGGGACACAGCCAAACCGUAUCACCCUUAAACUACAAACUCACCUUGGCAGGUUGCCGAGUGGAGGGAUAUUCUAAAUGGGAUUUCUGUGAGACGGUAGAAAAUAAUAACAGAGCAUCUACACUUUUUCAAACAUUUUUUUUACAAAUAUUAUUUCAUUUAAUCAUCACAAUACUGUGAAGCAGGCAUCAUUAUCAUCACGAUUCUCAAUUGACAGGUAGGUUAUUGGAGGCUGAUUGGCUUACGUGACUUCCAAUGUGCUAUGGAGGUGCCCAGGGUGUAAAGUUCAACAGAUCUAUCUUGCUCUGCCGCUCUGAGCAGGCCUUUAGCAAAUACUGUGAUAAUUUGCUAAGGUAAGUACCUGCUUGUCCCCUGCAGCUGGGGUCCAUGACUGAGCCCCCCUACUGUGACAGCUGACUCACGCCUGGGUGGCUCGGAGUGUCUCUGUUUGCUGUAUAUGCAGCUAUUUGUAUUCAAUUACUAAAAAUUUAGUUCGUCUGUGAAAUAAUUGUCCAUCUCUCCCCCCAAAAAAGGCCAACUGCUAGUGCAGAUGAUGAAAAUGAUGAAAAAGUGAGACAAGCUAAGGCACGUAGGUUUCUUCGCCAGAAUAUAAAAGUGAGUAAACUAAAGAGAGAAAUGAAUUCAGCAGUGGCUGAGAUCUGAGGAAUGAACAAGUUCACCAAUUUCUCUCUACAGAAAUGAGAAAAAGACAUUUGUGAAACUGUUGCAAAUGAUCCAGCCAGUGAAAAAAUUGCUCAUCAAGUGAGAGAUAAGACUUAAGUGAAAACUGAAAAGGGGGUUAAUGUGUGGAGUGAGAACAUGCACAGGAAACACACGACUUAUGAUGGAAACGGGGCUCGGCAGGAAGCCCAGAUCCUGUACAAACAUUUCCAUGAAGCAGCAGAUGGGAAGGCUCCAGAGUGGCUCCUCAACCAACCUUUGCUGUGAGUGCAAUUGACUGGAAAACUUGAAGAAGCAUUUCUUUUUUUUUUUGGAUGAUGCAAAGUAACGAGGAGAAAUGGCACCCGUUAACCUCUUGGUUGAUGUCCAGUUUUCUUCUGCACUCAGAAGGAUCCUCAAGAGGAACGUGGUAGACCAGAAGAAGAGUCAGGCACUGCUUUAGACACCUCUAUUGGGGCCAAAGUGUCUUCUGAACACAGGUAUCCAGGAGGAAAACGAACUCUAAGAUUAAAGGCAGCCAAAGACAGAGUCUUCUAGACUUUGGGGACAUGGUGGGCUUUAAGGGGGAGCCACGUUUGCUGAACCAUUCUUUAAACCCCCAGACAUUUAGGAGUAAGGCUAAAAACUUCAUAGCCAUGUAGUAACAAUGUAGGAAAACAAUGUUGGGAUCAUGGCACAUUUCCUUUUGCCCAGGACAACUAUGUUGUCCGAGUAGAAUUUGGAUUUCUAAAGGUCUCAAGACCCUUGUCUCCUGCUGUAGCUGGGGAUGUGGAUCCUAAAAACACCCUGGUAAGAGGUGGGUGGGCCAUGCUUCAAACACAGAUAAACUUGACUCCAAAAUCUAGGCCCUUUUGACUCUUCUCUAUCAACUUUUUCAGACGUUGGUCAGGCAAACUUAUUCCCCAAGACCAUGGAAUUGGGGCUAAGAUUUAUGCAAAGGUCUAGAGUUCUUUUCUGGUCCCUCAGCCCUUCCUUCCCUCUACUCUACUGCUGGGGAGUUGUGGGCAGUUUGCUAAAUGGCACCUCCAUCUAGGCACAUCAUAUAUAAUAGAGCAAACUCUCAUAAUGUGAUAAGCUCCAUUUUGAUUUUAUAUGUUUUAAAGAUAUUUUUCUAUCAAUACCGUUCACAAUUUAAUUACAAUAAUUAACAUAGUUUUCCAAUAUUAUUUUUGCAUUUGAUUAUAUGCCUAAAAAUGUUGCAGCUGUGUUUACCUAUAUGCCUUUUGUCUUAGGCUUCAUUUAAAAUGAGAAGUAAAUAUCAUUUUUAUAUAUAGCUUUCCACUUGCUUUGUGAACUAUUUUCAUAAUACCCCAAUUUAGCCACAAACAUCCUCUGGUGUGCUCAGAUCUCUCC